GUGUAUACACACACACACACUCUGUAUACAAAUAUAUACUCUGUGUGUGUGUAUAAUGUGUGUGUGUAUGUGUGUGUGUGUGUGUGUAUAU